rnacentral:rRNA from 1 species
UACGUAGGUGGCAAGCGUUGUCCGGAUUUAUUGGGUUUAAAGGGUGCGUAGGCGGCCCUGUAAGUCAGUGCUGAAAUAUCCCGGCUUAACCGGGAGGGUGGCAUUGAUACUGCAGGGCUUGAGUGAAGUCGAGGUAGGCGGAAUUGACGGUGUAGCGGUGAAAUGCCUAGAUAUCGUCAAGAACACCGAUAGUGAAGACAGCUUACUAGGCUUAUACUGACGCUGAGGCACGAAAGUGUGGGGAUCAAACAGG